rnacentral:rRNA from 1 species
CGUGGGGGAUGACGGCCUUCGGGUUGUAAACUCCUUUCGUUAGGGACGAAGCCAUACUUUUUGGGUGUGGUGACGGUACCUUUGUUAAGAAGCACCGGCUAACUACGUGCCAGCAGCCGCGGUAAUACGUAGGGUGCGAGCGUUGUCCGGAAUUACUGGGCGUAAAGAGCUCGUAGGUGGUUUGUUGCGUCGUCUGUGAAAUUCCGGGGCUUAACUUCGGGGUGGCAGGCGAUACGGGCAUAACUAGAGUGCUGUAGGGGAGACUGGAAUUCCUGGUGUAGCGGUGGAAUGCGCAGAUAUCAGGAGGAACACCGAUGGCGAAGGCAGGUCUCUGGGCAGUAACUGACGCUGAGGAGCGAAAGCAUGGGGAGCGAACAGGAUUAGAUACCCUGGUAGUCCAUGCUGUAAACGGUGGGCGUUAGGUGUGGGGACCGGUUUGGUUUCUGUGCCGUAGCUAACGCAUUAAGCGCCCCGCCUGGGGAGUACGGCCGCAAGGCUAAAACUCAAAGGAAUUGACGGGGGCCCGCACAAG